GCGAUAAAUCCACAAAUAUGCUAAUUUGAGGAUAAAAUAGUGCUAUUUUUUGAGGAGCCAUUCGGCAGUACAUAUUGGUAUAAUGCACUGAAUUUGACCCGUGAAUUUUCCUUCCUGCUGCCCCCGCCUCUAGAGAAGGACUCUCACUUGAGUAGGAAGAUGCCCGUUGGCCUGGUCACCCGCACAUGGUCUCCUCAAACUUCUUCCCUCACACCCGAGUCUCUUCCCCCCUAGGAGUCUCCUGUCUCUUCCCCCCCUAGGAGUCUCCUGGUGCAUGGAAUCUACCAGAAACUGGGGUUCCCCAAAGCCUCUGCCUGCCUUCUGCAGCUGAGCUGCUUCAGCCUCUGGGGGACACCCAUUUGAAGGAACCUGUCCAAAUCCAUGUAAGAGAUCUCCUAUUUUUUCCCUCCCACCUGAGGCUCUUCCUCCUCACCAGACACCUGUUCCAAGGAAGCUCCUGCAACAAGGGUGUGGGCUUGUGUCGUGAAGGUUGAGUAUCCAGGGUGACAGUGAAGAAUCCAUACUCCCACCGCAAGAGUGGAUUUCAGUGUGCCUGAGAGGAAGAGGAGUAAGACAUCCUGCUGGCAUGUGCCCCAGGUCUGCCUCUGGAGAAACACGGCAAGCUGGCCCAUGGAACAUGUCACACUCUUGCACCCGGGGCACCUGAUCAGGCUGGACGUGCCCAUCAGAUGCUGAAGGCACAGCUGCGUCCCUGCCCUGAGUUUUUGCGGUUUCUGCAACAUUUUGGUGCUUUGGCCGGGAAGCCGAUAACCGAGCUGGCCUCUUGUGCUACCGUUGUCAGGGAACCGGGGAGGCCAUGGUCGCCGGCCCGGUGACAGGUGGAUAGCGCGCACUGGCCAUUUUGCCGGAUCCAGACCCUCACUUGGGCCGGGGCCUUGGGCCACACCGCUUCCCGAACAGACUCAGAAGGAGAGUGGAAACAGGUUCCUGGACAGGACGUCAGACUGUAACAGGAAUAGUGGAUCCAUCAUUCCAGAGUUCAACCGGCUGGCCCAGCUGAGGACUGUGGAGAGUGGGAGACUGCCCUCGAUCCGGAGAGACCUCUUCGCCUGACAAUACAGAGGAGGAGACGACGAUCUCAAAGCCCUGCCCUGACCACACCGGAAGCUGGUCAGUCAACGCACGGCUGAAGCUUGAGGAAUUGGCUGCCUGGUAAAAUAAACUGCCUUACCUCCCUUC
rnacentral:lncRNA from 1 species